GUCAGACUGAGUCCUUCCCACACACUGCACUGACCUCUUCGGCUGCCCCUCGUUCACUUUUAGGUGGAGCCUUACACCUGUGAUCACACCAGGGCCCCGGAUAGUCUGAGAUAUUGUCCACCUCAGGGUCACUGGACCAGCACCCUGGAUUCCACAUUCCUGGUUCCUGGCAUCAGGACAUGGACUCGAGGGGCAUUCAUCUGCAGCCCUGGAGGAAGGCUCGAGGCACAGCCCUUGGUGAGCCGUGGGAGCCUGGGCCCUGGAGCUCCUGAGUGCCAGCUGCAGUUAGCUUCUUCCACUUGCUCAGUGGGACUGGCGGGUGAGGAGGUGGGCUUCUGGGAGGACAGCCUGGGGGCGCCACAUGAGCCUGCACAGGGUCCAGGUUUGCGGUCACCCAACAGUGCUGCCAGUGGAGCUUCAGUUUGGAUCUUGAUGCAAAAGUUUCCUUCAGCGCCACACCAGAGCCGUCGAUGGACCGGGGAAGCCUGUGGGAGUGGGACAGAGGCACGGCUAAGGAGACAAGCCCACACCAGGCGGGUGAGGUGCCCACAUCCAACCCAGCGCUUGACCACACACCGCACUGGACCUCACCUCUGGGGAAGGUCACAUGGCUCAGGGCCUUGGAGGCGAACCCUCUGCUGCUUCCUGGAACGGGUCCUCUGCCUUUGGGGGCUUAGCUUCCCCCUGGUUCAGACAAUGGCUGUUAACAGCCGGCUGUUAACCAGGACAGAUGGAUGGACGGACUGAUGGCUGGGUUCCUGGAGCAACAUUGGUGGGAAGAUUCUUCUUCUGAAACAAACACUCAGGCUCUCAGAAGGUGGAACGCAAUUGGCCCUAGCUUCAUCCUGGCUGUCACAGAGAAACACAGCAAGAGCAAGUCACCCGUGCGGUCCGUGCCCGGUGCCCACCAGGCCAGCCAGAGCGCAGUCCUCCAAGGUCGGAGCCGUCCGGGCAGGGCAGAGGAGGAGGUGGCAGGGGAGCCAGUCUCCAGGCUCAGGGGAGGGGCCGCAGACAGGCUCCGGGCAGCGUGUGGAGCAGCCGCCCAAGUCUGGUCCUGCAGAAGUGACCUCUCUGAGCAUGGGGCCUGGUGCACAGGUGGGUGGAAACCUGUGAGAAUGGCUGCACCCUGGCUGGCGGGUCCCUGUAGCCCUACCGUGCCUUCUGACCCUUUCACCAGGGGCCUGUGAACCCCACCAGGGCUGGUUGAGGCUCCCCGGGCACCCUCAGACUACCGACUGCAUCAUCCAGAAGGAUGGAGGAGCUGGCCGCACUGGACCUGCAAGGGAAAGAUGCUGGGGGCGCCCACUGAGUGGACGGCUCUGCCCAAGCCCAGAUGGCCUGUCGGCCUUGGAAGGAGGAGGGGCUUUGUAAAGAGGGGACCCCUUGGGCCCGAAGGUGUAAAGUACAGCUUUCAGGGAACACGCGGCUGCCUUGCUGCAGGCCCGCACUCUUUCUACACCCAUACUCCAGCCAGGCCUCUUUCAGCCAAUCUGCCCAAGGUUUGGCCAGAGGAACCAGCCAAACACAUUCCCUCAGGCCCAUCUUAGCCCCAGAGGGCAGACAUGGGCUGGUUGCAGACUGCAAGGGCCGCAGCGAUGGGGACUCAGUCCGCGUGGCGCAUUUCCUAAGGGAGGGAUCUUGGCCUCAAGGGGCACCUAGCCUUGCCCAGUGCUCGAGACCAACUGAAGACCAACCGAGCUUUUUAAAGUAAGUUUUCAUGUAAAUAAUUCAGAUAAGUGAGAAAAG
ensembl:lncRNA